GACGAACGCUGGCGGCGUGCUUAACACAUGCAAGUCGAGCGGUAAGGCCCUUUCGGGGGUACACGAGCGGCGAACGGGUGAGUAACACGUGGGUGACCUGCCCUUAGCUCUGGGAUAAGCCUGGGAAACUGGGUCUAAUACCGGAUAUGACUCCAUGACGCAUGUUGUGGGGUGGAAAGCCUUGUGCGGCUGGGGAUGGGCCCGCGGCCUAUCAGCUUGUUGGUGGGGUGAUGGCCUACCAAGGCGA
rnacentral:rRNA from 1 species